rnacentral:tRNA from 1 species
GUUUAAAUAGUUUAAUUAAAAUAUUGAUUUGUGGUGUCAAUGAUGAAAAUUAUUUUCUUUAAACC